rnacentral:rRNA from 1 species
CCUAUGGGGCGCAGCAGGCGCGAAAACUCCGCAAUGCGCGCAAGCGUGACGGGGGGACCCCAAGUGCCGANUGUCUUAUG